GGGCGUAUAGCUCAGUGGUAGAGCAUUUGACUGCAGAUCAAGAGGUCCCCCCUUCAAAUCUGGGUGCCCCCU
rnacentral:tRNA from 1 species